AUUUCCCUGGAGUGUGCGUGAUUUAUGACUCGGUGCUGACCUUACAAGCAUAAAAUCGGGAGCUGUCCCUGCUUUUUGUGAGCACGCCCGUUUACGGGAAGCCUGUAGAAAAGUACACGGCCCCCCCUGGGAAACCAGGUUCUGCAUCGAAGUCAUGACACGGCGCUCUGGGGAUUUU
rfam:Desulfovibrio piger ATCC 29098 Scfld2 genomic scaffold, whole genome shotgun sequence.